rnacentral:rRNA from 1 species
UGGGGAAUAUUGGACAAUGGGCGAAAGCCUGAUCCAGCCAUGCCGCGUGUGUGAAGAAGGCCUUAUGGUUGUAAAGCACUUUAAGCGAGGAGGAGGCUCUUCUAGUUAAUACCUAGGAUGAGUGGACGUUACUCGCAGAAUAAGCACCGGCUAACUCUGUGCCAGCAGCCGCGGUAAUACAGAGGGUGCGAGCGUUAAUCGGAUUUACUGGGCGUAAAGCGUGCGUAGGCGGCUGAUUAAGUCGGAUGUGAAAUCCCUGAGCUUAACUUAGGAAUUGCAUUCGAUACUGGUCAGCUAGAGUAUGGGAGAGGAUGGUAGAAUUCCAGGUGUAGCGGUGAAAUGCGUAGAGAUCUGGAGGAAUACCGAUGGCGAAGGCAGCCAUCUGGCCUAAUACUGACGCUGAGGUACGAAAGCAUGGGGAGCAAACAGG